AGUGGUGUACCUUAUCGGCUCAUCAUAAUUAUUUAAAAAUAUUCUUUCAGAAAAUUAGUAGCUGAUGUGAUUACCUACAUUAAUGAUGUAACAAUAUUAUUUGGAAACAAAGUACAAUUAUUGUUCAAAAUGUCUGUCGCCAGUCCCCACCACACCAAUGUGAAAGUUGGACAAUUACACCCCAAGUAUUUUAAUUAGAAGAUGGUUACUGAUCAUGCAUAAUUAUUUUGGUGACCAUGAUGAUGGUGACGGAUUCAACCUCUUAUGUCACACUACCAUAAUAACUUAAAUGUGUUCAAACGUAAUUAAGAAAAACCAAUUUUGACAUCAUCAUCACAAUAUAUCAUUCUUUCAAAUUCGUUGUUUUCUUCGACUUAUUUUUUAAUAUUUAUAUUAUCAUUGGUACGUCCGCCAACGCGAAGAUCAAGAUAAAGGUCAACGUUAUUUGAUUAGACUAUGUAAGUAUGAUUCUCUAACUCUAGUGGGCUCUUGUUAGAGAUGGAUUGCCUAGUAGCCAACCGCAGCUAGGUUUUUUCUUAUCAUAAUACGUGGUAAAAUUCCGAUGGACCACCUCAAACUGAUGGUUAUACUUAGGAUAGUCUUGAUUAAAUAUACUGUUGAGAUGAGGCCACUAUGCUCAAAUACUCAACUGUAAAUAUCGUUCUGUUCAUUUUGGGCAUUUUGAGGAAUAAUUCUUUAAAUACAUAACUUUUGUUAGUCGUUCCGCUUCUUCAACUUCGAGUGCUCCAAGGAGGUGUACCAUUGCAACGCACUUCUUCACAUCCAUCGCGCAAUGCAUGCAGUUAUUGAUAGACAGAGGAAUCACCUAGCACCGAACUCUAAAGAUGCGCGUGGCUCAUCAGGAUACCUUUUUAUUUUUCUUUCUUAAUUCUAGGUUAUUUUUUAACUCGUUACUUUUCUUAUGAGGAACAAUUAAAAAAUUGAACAAGACGACAAUUUCUAGAUAAUUGAACUCAAAGUCGUUUAUAGACCUAAAACCUCUGAUUAUCCACUAUAGAUAAACCCGUUCACAAUAACAAACAGUGGGCAAGCAAACCUCAGCAGGAAUGGGUAUUGGAUAUUGUCUCAAACAUAUUUCAUUCAUAAGAUACUACUAACCUUGAUUAACCAUCGUGCCAUUGCAUGAUUUUUGCAUUAACAAAUGAGGUUAACGUUGAUAGUACUUUUGAUGAUCAAAGCUCUAAAUCACGUUGAAUAAUUGUACCACUCCCCAAAAGUGACGAAACCACCGACACUAAAAGCCAUUUUGCUAUAUCCUUGUAGAUUAUACUCCAUCGGUUAGCUAAUUUACUCUUGAUCAUUUUCAUUCAGGAAAACAAAUAAAUAUUAAGCAUAUGCAGAUAGCGACAAAAGGGACACCCAAUUUUCAAAAUGCACCAACUUAACAGUGACGGAUACAGAAAACCAAAGAUUAGAAAAGGACAAAACUAUCCUUCCCUACCAACUCCGAGUCCGAUUAUGGAGCUGCACCAUUGCUUCCUGGAUACAAUCCUGGAGCAAUUUGGACCCUCAGAUUUUGAUAUAAUUUAAAAAUCAAGAUUAACAAAGAGCAAUAUAAUUAGAUUGUUUUAAAUAUGUUUGUUAGACUAGAACUUAGUUAUUUUUGAUUGUCGGACUACCGUUUUCGAUUAUUGAAAAAUUUCUCGAUCAAUUUCCCGACGAUUGCGACCUCCAUUCACGAAAAUUUCCUAGAAAAAUUUACUGCCGAUUGCGACCAAUUUACCGUCGUUUGUGACCAAUUUACCGUCUUCGUCUCUACUUUUGUAGAAAAAAAAUUAUUUUUCGGGAAAUAUUUUCCGCCGGCCGGUUGUAUAACUNNNNNNNNNNNNNNNNNNNNNNNNNNNNNNNNNNNNNNNNNNNNNNNNNNNNNNNNNNNNNNNNNNNNNNNNNNNNNNNNNNNNNNNNNNNNNNNNNNNNNNNNNNNNNNNNNNNNNNNNNNNNNNNNNNNNNNNNNNNNNNNNNNNNNNNNNNNNNNNNNNNNNNNNNNNNNNNNNNNNNNNNNNNNNNNNNNNNNNNNNNNNNNNNNNNNNNNNNNNNNNNNNNNNNNNNNNNNNNNNNNNNNNNNNNNNNNNNNNNNNNNNNNNNNNNNNNNNNNNNNNNNNNNNNNNNNNNNNNNNNNNNNNNNNNNNNNNNNNNNNNNNNNNNNNNNNNNNNNNNNNNNNNNNNNNNNNNNNCAAUUUUGACAGUUUGCUAAUGUAAACCUUUUUUUUUUUGUCUGUGUUAAUUACAUGUUACCACCUAAAUAUAAAUAAUGAGAUGAUGUGGAAGAUGGUUAUUGUUAAUAGUCAGAACGAUUGUUUUUGUUUAUAUAUUUUAACAUAUUAUUAGCUUUUUUAAAAUGCAUUUGUUGCUAAUCGUAANNNNNNNNNNNNNNNNNNNNNNNNNNNNNNNNNNNNNNNNNNNNNNNNNNNNNNNNNNNNNNNNNNNNNNNNNNNNNNNNNNNNNNNNNNNNNNNNNNNNNNNNUUUCGACCUUAGUUCCGACAUUACUAGUACUAAUUUUGAACCUCGGAUUAACUCGAAAAAUUCCGAUAUCCAAUUGAGAUGAUGCACCUUACUAGAUCAUAUGAAGAUCCUUGCUCCCAUGCGCCAAAAGCAUUAUGUAUAUACAUUAAGGUGACAUGAAAUCUAUCCAUUAAUAAUAUAAUCCGAAAGAAAAUUAAACAUUUGUUUAAUUAACAAAGUAGGGGGUUUAGGUGUCGGUAGGUAAUCAUUUCAAUAGAUUGUUCAUCAUUGGCUCUUAGGAAAGCCAAAUGUUUUUUCAAAUGCUAACUAUAAUAAAUAUAGUAACCCUAAAUAUAGUGUUUGCAAAACAAUCAUAACUACAUCAACCAAGACGGAAAUUUUUCAGAAACUCAUAUAAAGUGUAUAAUGAUAAAAGUAGGAUUAAUGGAAAUAAAACGAACAUUAAUAGAUAAAUAUGCGUAAUUUUGACCAUUUAGUUUUGAUAUAAUAAUUGAUCAUAGAAACUGACAACCUCAGAAAAAACCUAGUGUGUAAACUCACCAUCCCCAACAAAAGUCGAAUUACACCACACGAAUCCAGUUGCUCCCUCUCUCCAAGCAGCAAGUAGUCAUCUUGCCACAUAAGCUCUCCACUCCAACCGAGUGAUCGAGUAAAUCUCCAAGUUUAUGAAAUACGCUCUCAAGUAGCGACAAUUAACAUCACGAAACAAGCCACAUAUAGAUGCUAGUCUGGGAUGGGAAAUAAUAGACAUAUCCGAAUGGAGAGCAACACACAUAAAUGACCGUGAUAACGAUAAAAAAAUAUAUAUCACCGUUUUGGUGGGUGAAUCAGUAUGAACCGAAUGAUCAUUUAACAUAGCAUCCUCUAUCAACUUGGCCCAUAAAUAGAUAUGCUUUGACAAAUCCUCGAAAGUGAUGUAAAUAUCAAUAAAGAUAAAUUCAUUUUGUCUUCCAGAGAGAGAGAUCAGCUAGGCAAGCCCCAAAAAAAAUUAAGAGUUCAACGUCUUCAAGUGGACACAAAGAGAUCAACCGGCGAUGAGCCUCCAACAAUUUUUUGCCGAAAAUUUAUAAUUAAUUAUAAUCAAUCCGAAUCGAUAGCACUGAACACAACCAUCAACAGACACCUUCAACGCGAUGACGCUAUUUUUUUAGAUAACUGAAAAUACUAUAUAUUCUCCCUCGCUAAACCUCGGUGAGAGUUAAAUACUUUAAAAAAGACCAGACCCAAUAAGUUUGUAACACAGAUCCAAACUUUGAUUCCAUGUUUAACAACUUGUUUUUGUUUUAUUAGUGAUAUUGAUGGAAACACAAUAUUAAUUUAAUGUCUAGUGGGUUUCAGUUACGAUCAGUACAAACUCCUCCUUAGAGUCAACAAGUUACACUGUUAGUGAGCCUUUUAAUCAAACCCACACCCAAAAUCCAUCUUGGUUCAUUGUAAUUCAAACCUCCCACCCCCACAAUGCCUAACCAAAUUGAUCUUUUGGAGUUGAGGAUCGGACCUACCCAUGACCCACAACCUUAUCCACUACUCACUUCACUUUCGGUUCAACCCCUUGUAAUCAAAGGCGGCCACUCAUAAGUCAUAAUAUACAUUUGUCCCACCCCCACCAACAAUAUUCUGCUCUUUCAUUGUCAAGUAUUUUGAAGGCGUAUAUUUUUGUUUUCUAAUUGUUUAUUCUAAUUCAAGAUAUGUAGCUACAUCAAGUCAAAUCGUAACUUUCUUCCUUUUUGUAUUUUAUUUCGUGCAAUUCAAUUUCAAAAAUUUAUAAGCUCACUAAUAUUGGUUUUAAAAAGCGCUUUUCAUCGAUUCAAUUUUCACAAAUGUAUCGAUGAUUAAUACUAUCUAUCAACGUUAUUUUAACAAAUAAUUUUUUUAUUAAGAACAUAUUAGUCCAUUUAUAUGAAAAUAAUGAAUGUACAAAUUUCAAUACAGAUUGCAUAGCCGCGCCCUAAAAGUUUUGUGAUUUAAUAUAAACUCAAUGAUAUUAAACUAAUGCUAAUAUAAUAAAUAUGUAGAUCCGUUAGUUUGGUUUUGGGUUGAUUUAGACCGAUCAUCGUUGGUUAUUUUCAAUGUGUACGAUAAUAAGUUGUUCUUUGUUGAAACUUGACCACUAAACAUAAAAAUUCGUAUCGAGUUACAAGCACUUUACCAAACAAAGAAUAAACACAUCGAGGAAUGUUNNNNNNNNNNNNNNNNNNNNNNNNNNNNNNNNNNNNNNNNNNNNNNNNNNNNNNNNNNNNNNNNNNNNNNNNNNNNNNNNNNNNNNNNNNNNNNNNNNNNNNNNNNNNNNNNNNNNNNNNNNNNNNNNNNNNNNNNNUAUAUAUGACAACUAUAGAAAAAAUGUUUCGACAAAUUUAAUUCUAAAUAUCAAAUUCGGUCCACAAUUGUUGGUCCACAUAAAUGGAAUUUAAGUCGGACCAAAUGAUCACCCCAUUUGCAUCACUAAUUUGAACAGCUGAGUUCUUGAACUUAGUUCCACAUAUCGGAGUCAAAAUUGUCUGAUAGAUAAUUGAUUGAAAAUGCUUCAUAAUGGAAAUUCAUAUUCUACUUCAGGGACGUGAUUCAUCAUAAAAAUUCUAUUCCGGUUAUUGGUAUUUUUUAUCAAUUCAAUAUAUAGAAACUCAUGUAUAUACCAGGAAACAAUUCAAGUUUUUCGUUACGAAAUGUUCACUUCACCGCUAAUUAACCGUCAACAAAGAAAUAGUGAAACUUUCAAUACUAAGUUCUAAUCAACUCCAAUACCACUCGACUAUAUCUAUGUACUUAUUACAAAUUUUAUCUGAACUUAAUAUGUAAACAAAUUAUUAAUAGAAAGAAUAGAAAUAAUUAUCAAAAGAAAUUUCAGAUGAGGCAGCUUAUUCACAUGUUCAUGCACUAACUCGAUCACAGGUUAAAAGAACCAAACAUUUUGAUAGUAAUAUUAUAAUGAAACUGGUUGACUGAACAGAAAGAUGAAAUCCUCUCAUCCUUCUCCUCUUUUUGAAAGCCCCGGGUUUUUCAUUAUUCUCUCCUCGCCGGAGCAUAAUUUUUCUUCCGGGGACCUACCGUGUUCCAACUUUGGAAUUGUGGAAGAUCAUACAUCAAAGGAUUUUGUUUUCUCCCAAUCCCCCUGCAUUCAAGACACUAAGAGAAGGAGUUCAUCAAACCAAGUGAAAGGAGAAGGACUAAUAUCCAGAGUAAUAACUUCCACAUUUAUGAUCUCAUUCUUUUACAAGUUACUUUAGAGUCUCCAUAAGUACCCCUUCAUUCAAUACUUCAUCUCAUCUACUAAGUGUAGGAUUCAUAAACCCAGAAAGAAAAGGAGGAUUUUAAAAUUCUCUGCCACCCUCGAGCCUCAAAAACGUCAAGAUAUUAAACUCCCAAACCAUUUCCUCUACCAACGACCUCAGGCCCUGCCUCUGCAAUUGAUGAGAUAUUCCCACCUUAUAUAAAUAAGAGGAAGACCAUAAAACACCAACAUAGACAAAGUAAACCCACCAUCAAAAUAAAGCUCUCUUUGCCAAAAAAUUCAUACCUCAAGAAAGUGGAGAUGAACUACCUGCUUUCCCAAGCCGAAAACUGGAGCAUUGGUAAGGAAAACCCCCCAAAUCAAGCUCAAGCCUUCUGGUUCAUCCUCAUAUGGCCCUUUUUUCAUGAUCGGCAAAUGCAUCGGAAGCCAAGUGAUGAAAUACCCAGCGGUUGUAGGAAGUUCCAGGCGAUUCUGGGACGGUCAUGGGCAUUUUGAUGUAAAGUCAGUAAAAGCCUCCGAGCGCCAUUUUUUUCCACUUUCCGGAAUGAGAAACUGAGAACGCAUGCCUGGGAAAAUCAGCCGUAUAUCAUCUCCAACUCCUUGCUGUGUUUGAAGAAAUGGGAUGGAAGGGGUAACCCUGAGAAGAGAAGCUUUAGGGAAAGCCCCCUCUGGAUCAACCUUAUCCUUCAGGGAAAAUUGGUGAUCUCCUGACUCGUUGUGAAGCUCCCAGCAAUGGUGGUGACGGUGCUCAGUCGGGGUUCUUCCGACCAUCUCUCAAAGCCGGUUGCGACUAUAUCAGAUUGAUCGGAGAGUCGAUCAAUUCGUAGAGAAGAAGAAAUGCAGAGGAAGAAAUGCAGAGAAGAAGAUAAGAUUGAGUCUGAAAGUCUGAGUUGAUUCAUUCUGUUGGUUGGGUUUUUAUACCAAACCCAACGGUAACUUCAACAGUAAAAACGAAAUUAUAAACGCGGGUAAAACACGUGUCCACGUUUGAUACAUCAAUAGUUAAAACGCAAACGGAGGAUAAAACUCGUCGUUUCAUUUAAGCGCUUCUCUUCCUUCUCUUGACGUUGACCAACGGUCUUCCUUAACUCCGUUUGUUCUUCGCUGCGUUUAACACCCUCCCACAAGUUGGAGAGUAGAUGUCAUAUACUCCCAACUUGCUCAGCAGCAACUGAAGACGCGUCCUAUGCAAAGCCUUAGUGAAAACAUCUGCAGGCUGAUCAUUUGUUCCAAUGUGCUUCAAGACAAUCAUUCCUGACUUGAUCCUCUCUCUGGUUACAUGACAGUCGAUCUCAAUAUGCUUCGUCCUCUCAUGAAACACUGGAUUUUCUGCAAUGUAGAUAGCUGACUUAUUGUCACAAUGAACCUCCAUAGGCAUAGGAAUCUGGACUCCUAGCUCCUUGUAUAACUCUGACAACCAUUGCAUUUCGCACACCAAGUGUGCUAUGGAUCUAUACUCAGCUUCAGAAGAUGAUCUAGAAACAGUUCCCUGUUUCUUAGACCUCCAAGUUAUCAAUGAAUCACCAAGAUAUGUACAAUAACCAGAAAUAGAUUUCCUAGUAUCUGGGCAAGCUGAAUCACAGUAACCAAUUAUGUAUAAAGCAUUGGAGGAUUUAUAUAUCAAUCCUUGUGCUGGUGAUGAUUUCAAAUAUCUCAAUACACGAUGUGCUGCUUCCAAAUGCACACUGCAAGGGUCAUUCUGGAACUGACUCAGUUGCUGAACAACAAAGGUUAUGUCUGGUCUUGUAAUUGUCAAAUAAUGUAGUCUUCCCACCAAAUUUCUAUACACAGAAGGAUCAUCCAAGGGAUCACCCUGCUUUGCAAUCAGUCUUAGAUUCACUUCCAUAGGGCUUUUACUCCCUUUAGCCUCCAAAAAUCCUGUAUCUGUAAGCAACUCAACACAAUACUUCCUCUGGUUCAUCACAAUACCAGCCUUUGAACGAGCAAUUUCAAGGCCUAGAAAAUAUCUAAGCUCUCCCAAAUCCUUUAUUUUAAAUUGUCGAUGUAAGUAAUCCUUCACCUCCUUGAUUUAUGAUAAGUCCUUUCCAGCAAGUAUUAUAUCAUCAACAUAAACCAAAAGCAUAACUAGUGAAUGUCCAUUCCCUUUGACAAACAGUGAGUAGUCGGAACAGGUCUGUUUAAAUCCACACUUCAAUAGAGCACUGGUCAGCUUAGCAACCACUGUCUGCUAGCUUGUUUUAAUCCAUAGAGAGACUUUUUGAGUUUCAAACAUGUACCUGGUGGUGCAUCAAAGCCUGCUGGUAUCCUCAGAUACACUUCCUCAUUCAGAUCUCCAUGUAAGAAUGCGUUGGAUACAUCCAUUUGCUCCAGGUGUAAACCUUGAGCUGCUGCAAUUGCCAAUAAAGCUUUCACUGUAUUUAUCUUGGCUACUGGUGAAAAGGUGUCCACAAAAUCAACACCCUGUAUUUGAUCAAAUCCUUGUGCUACUAAUCUUGCUUUGUGCCUUUCUACACUUCCAUCUGAUUUCAACUUCAAUUUGAACACCCACUUUGUUCCCAACUUAUGAAAUUUUUCUGAAUCUGGAAUAACAUCCCAGGUAUGGUUCUCAUUCAGACCUCCAAGUUCACUCUGAACAGCAACAUUCCAGUAUGGAUCUUUCAUUGCUUCUUUGUAACUCUUAGGUUCCUGUUGGACCAUCACAUUCAAAGCAAAACUUCGAAAUGUUUCAGAAAGACCAUCAUAUGAAAUCACAGAGGCAAGAGAGUGUUUAGUAACACUGGCAUUUAAGUGAUAGUCUUGUAAAUGCAAAGGUGGACGACGUGCUCUCGUAGAGGUCCUGACAUCCAGCAGAACGGGCUGCUGUCCCUCCCCUGCUGGAUGAAUCUCAGGAUCCGGAAGUACCUCCUCUUCCUCACUAUCAGAUAGAGAACCCUGUAGCUGGCAUGCAUGAUUAGUGACAUGUGAAUUUGUAGCUGGAGCUACUGACACUGAAGAGUGGGAUGGACUAGGAUCAUUUGUAAUGACAGGUGACUUCUGAGGUAAAGUAACAGGCACAUCAAUAUGCACAGUAGGAGAAAUGAGAAUUCUGAUUCAAUAGGAGUAGCAAAAGACAGUUCAUGAGACUGAAAGGGAAAAAUGUUUUCAUAGAAAACAACAUCCCUGGAAAUGUAGAUGUUAGACGUAGAAAGAUCCAGUAAUUUGUAUCCCUUGAUGUGGGAAGGAAUUCCUAAGAGCACACUUUGUCUAGCUUGAGGUUGAAAUUUUCCUCGAUUAUGAGAUAGAGUCGCAGCAUAGGCUAAACAGCCAAAUACUUUGAUAUGAGUAAGAAUAGGAGGUUGAUUAUAGAGAAUUUCAAAGGGAGUCUUGUUGUGAAUAGCAGAGGAAGGGGUUCUGUUUAUCAAGUACAUGGAAUGAAGUACAAAAUCACUCCAAUAUAUCAGAGGUAGACCAGACUGAAACUGUAAAGCUCUUGCUACAUUCAAAAUAUGUUGGUGUUUUCGUUCUACUUUAGCAUUUUGCUGAGGUUUUUGCACACAUGACAUUUGAUGUAUUAUGCCAUGCUCAUAAUAGAAAUCAGACAAAUGGAAUUCUUUGCCCUGAUCACUCCUUAUCAUUUUGACUUUGGUUUUGAACUGAGUACAUACCAUGUUAUAGAAAGAUUGCAGCAAGGCUCGGGUUUCUGAUUUGUAUUUCAUUAGAUAAAUCCAUAAUCCCCGUGAAUAAUCGUCAACGACAGUGAGAAAAUACAGAAAACCAUCAUGUUUAGAGAGAUGGCAGAUAGAACAGUGAGACAGAGUUUCAGGAACAAUGUUAUGAUCAUGACUAUGUAAAAGCUUCAAUUUCUCAGCACUUGGAUGUCCCAUUCGCCAAUGCCAGAGACUGAUCUCUUCUGGUUUAUAAUUGUGGCUAACAGCUACUUGAGGUCUGGAAGGAGGGGUUUGAAGAGAAGAUGAUGAAAUGUGUUUGUCAGUAGGCUGUAGGUGAUACAACCCUCUAGUUUGAGUGGCUAAACCAAUCGUCUUACAUGUUGUGAGAUCUUGAAGCUGGCAAUUGUUGGAUUGAAAAAUUAGUGAAACAGGAAGAUGAGAGGUUAGCUUACUAACUGAGACUAGAUUGAAGUGAAAUGUUGGCACACACAUAAUAUUAUGAAUGACUUGACCAUGAGGCAGUUUGACACUACCAACAUGACUGACAGACAUACGAGAGGAGUCAGGAAGAUAUACAUUGACUCCUAUGACAGACUUAUAGGAAAUGAAGUGUUUGAGAGAGCACGUUAUGUGGUCAGAAGCUCCAGUAUCCAAUAUCCACAAGUCAGCUAAAUCAGGACAUGAACUAGCAGAUAGUGUAAACAUACCUGAAUCAUUUUGAAGAAUUGGAAUCCCUGAUCCUGAAUUAGUGGCUUUGGAUUGCUGGACUGCUUGCAGUAGUUGCUUGAGCUGAGUCAACUCAGCAUUGUUAAUGAGAGAGCAGCUGCUACUGUAGGAACUUGCUGCUGAUCUACUGCUCCAGCAAAAUGAUUUGAGGAUGCUGAGUUGCUGUUUGUAUUCUGAGCAUUUUGAUCUUGCUGUUUCUUCCAUUUUAGUCUCCUGCAUUCAUCCAAAAUGUCUCCUUCUUUCUUACAGUAUCUACAAAACUUCUUGCCAGCUUGAUUAUAGUCUCUGGAAUUUCCAGAACUAGCAGCCAUAACCAUCCUUCCAUCAACGUCAGAUGGUACUGCAAAUGCCACAUUCUGAACAUUAUUAUCUUUCCCGAUCAUUAUACCACAUUUCAAUUUCUCUUCAUGCUCGAGUGCAUGAUCAUAAGCUGAGCUGACAAUAGGCAAAGGAGUCAUCAUAAGCAAUUGAGUCCUGACUACAUCAAAAUCUUCAUUCAAUCCUCUAAGAAAUCAGAUUAGAUAAUCCGUAUCUUGUUUCUCCUGGAAAGCUACCACUGCUGCACAAGGUAAUACACUAGCUAGUGCACAACUGCAAGGAACAAUGUAUCGUGUAUUCUUCCCAGAUUCCUUUAAUCACUGUAUAGUAUUGUGUAACUGACAUCUAACACUGUUUACAUCCAUGUAUCUCAUCCUGUAGAUUAGCCAUUUUUAGAGCAUUUUCUUGUCCAAACCUUCGUUUAAGCUCUUGCCAUAGGAUUUGAGCAUUUUCAUGAUUCAAUACACUUCUACGGAUUUCUGGAUGCAAAGAGUUUUCAAUCCAAGACAGUACCAUAGUGUUGCAAGCAUCCCAAAGAGAGUAUCGAUCACUAGUACAGGCAGGAGGAACGAUAGAUCCAUCGAUGAAACCUACUUUAUGCUUAGUUUUCAGCGCAAACCUUACGGAUCUACUCCACAUUUGAUAGUUCGAUCCAUCUAGGACAGUAUUGACUAUAGAUUGAGACAGAUUUUCAUUAGGAUUGAGGUAAUAAGGAUUACCAAAAUUCAGGUUAACAGAGGCCAUGGGUGAGGUAUCUCUACUGCGAUGAACAUUUCCAACAGAUCCAAAAACGAAUCCUGAAGUGUGCUGAUGGUUGGUUUGUUCAUCAUUAUCUUCAUCAUCAUCCUGACUUCGAGUCAUCGUUAAGCUUUAGAUUGAUUUAAACCCGCUCUGAUACCAUAUCAGAUUGAUCGGAGUGUCGAUCAAAAUGCAGAGAAGAAGAUAAGAUUGAAUCUGAAAGUCUGAGUUGAUUCAUUUUGUUGGUUGGGUUUUUAUACCAAACCCAACGGUAACUUCAACAGUAAAAACGAAAUUAUAAACGCGGGUAAAAACACGUGUCCACGUUUGAUACAUCAAUAGUUAAAACGCAAACGGAGGAUAAAACUCGUCGUUUCAUUUAAGCGCUUCUCUUCCUUCUCUUGACGUUGACCAACGGUCUUCCUUAACUCCGUUUGUUCUUUGCUGCGUUUAACAAACUAUUCCGACUCUGGGUCUUCCGAAUUCGAUGCAGAGAACGAGUUUAUCUUCAGCUCGUGCAAUAGUUCCUAGACCCCGUCUCGCCCGGAGAACCUUCAGUCCGUCUUUCUCUCUCCAACUCUGCUAACCGGGGCCAGCCAACGGUAACUUCCACCCUUUGCCGCUGAAUCCCAUCCCAAACCCUCUCCAUCUCUCACAUACCCAUGGAAAUCCAGCUAGCACUCUUGAUAUUCGUGCCCUAUACCAGAUGCUCUUCCCCUCUCCCUCUAAGCCCAAAUUUGUUUCCCAACUCCGUCAGUGAGCCCAACUAUGCAACCCACCGGAAAGAUUCCAACCCCCAUCCUUUUCUCAGCCCACCAGGAAAUAACAACAAUCAGUAUUUCCAACUUCAGGCCGAUUCUCCUAAGAAAAGAAAGGCCAACAGUGGGCAGGGUAUCAAAUUUUCUCGGAUGAACCUCCAUAGGCCAAACCAAAUGUCUGCUGGUUGUCUAGGAGCCUCCCGCCAACUCUUCUCUACUAGUGGGAAGAAAAAGCUCCCUAAGAAGUUUUCCUAUAAAAACAAAGACAAAGGAGUAGGGUCGAGCAAAGCUAUGGAGUGCGAGGUGUUCCUAGUCAUCGAACCAAGUAUUGUUGUGGUGGCCGUUGAAGAGCCACCUCGCUAACCAUGAUUACGCUGAGUUGGAACUGUCGAGGUCUCGGGCGUGACCUCACAGUUUGCGCACUUGGGCAACCUCGUUCGUUCCAAACGUCCCUCCAUUAUUUUCUUAAUGGAGACCAAGCAGGAUUCGGGUUUCCUCGAAAGUAAGAGAACUAUCUGUAAUUUCGCUCAUGGAUUUUACGUCGAUCCCAUUAAUCGUUCGGAAGGGCUUCCCUUGUGGUGGAGGAACGAUGUUUCCAUUCGGAUUCUUAACUCGUGUAGUAAUUUAUUCAUAUAAGUGUUAAUCAUGUAGUAGACUUUCAAUGCACUUUUGUGCACGCCACUUGUAUGAUAGUGGAUAUGGCCCCCUUUUGGAAUGUUCUAGGUAACAUUCGUAACCAUUGCAAUGAGCCUUGGCUCUUGAUCGGAGAUUUCAAUGCAUUAUGCUUUGUCUACAAGAAGGAGGGCGGGAACGGCGUUGCUUCUUCAUCGACAACCCCUUUCCAAAAUUUUCGUUUCUCAAACGGCCUUUUUUAUCUCAGCUUUCAAGGGGAACCCUUUACUUGGAAUAAUGGUAGGCCGGGUACCGAUUUCAUCCAAGAAAGGCUCGACCGUGCCCUUUCUAACAUUGAAUAGCGUACCCUUUUUGAAAAGUCUCUUGUUUUCCAUGACCAUGCCAUUGACAAAGACCAUUGCCAUAUCUAUGUGGAUUUCUAUGGCUCCUGUCGUAGAUGAGGUAGCCCUUUCAAAUUCGAUGCGUGGUGGCUGGGUCACGGGCACUGUGAUGACAUAGUUGCUCGAAACACGAGACCAGGUGAGGACUGUAGUAGCUUCCAUAAUGCCUGUAAGGUUGAUCUUGACAGAUGGGCCAAAAAGCUAAACAGAGAAAGGAAUAACAGAGAAAUCAAAUAAAGAACAGACUUAUUGAUAUACAGAAUAAGUACCGUUACGAAGCCAUUAUGGAUGAGGAAAUGAACCUCAAAAAGGAGAUUGAAGACGUAUGGAGAAGCAAGGAAAUUGAAUGGAGCCUGCAUGCAAAAAUCAACUGGCUGAAGAUGGGGGACAGAAAUACGGCUUUCUUCCACUCUUUUGCGGUGUACCGUCGUCAUUGGUCAUCUCAAAGACAGUAACGACAACUGGAUCUCCUCGGACUACCAACUCCUGGCGAUGGCUAACUCCUUUUACAUGGAUCUCUUUUCGAUAAGAACAGGGAAGCCGGACCUUGGGGCUAUAGAAGCCAUGCCAAGAAUGGGUACUAACGAGAUGAAUUCCGACCUUUUUCGGCACGUUGCAUAUGAGGAGAUACGCUUGGAAGUGUUAAAUCUUGGGCCUAAACAAUCUCCUACCCUUGAUUGGUUCUCGGGCCAUUUUUACCGCAGUUUCUAGCCUUUAAUAUGUCAACGUUUCUACCAAGAAGUCAAGGAUUUCUUCACUACUAGGAUCAUGGCUCCCUAUAGGAAUGAUAAUCACAUAGUCCUCAUCCCUAAGAUCCCUAACUCUACGUCUAUGAGUGAAUUUAGACCCAUCAACUACUAUAACUUCCGCUACAAGGUCAUUGCCAAGAUUAUCGCUUCCCGCCUCAAAAUCUGGAUCGGCUCUCUUAUAGCUGAGAAUCAGGCGGCUUUUGCCACUGGAAGAUCAAUCCAAGAUAAUAUCAUUGUAGUUCAUGAAGCUCUCCACUCUUUUCCAACGAGGAAUCACAAUAGGAAGAGGGAUAUGUGCCUGGAAUUAAACAUGUACAAGGCCCAUGACAUGGUGGAUUGGAAUUGGCUGGAUAACCUUCUUCGGGUCUAUGGUUUCUCAUAUAAGUGGAGGGGCUAGAUUAAGGCGUGCACCCAAAUAGUUAGAUUCUCAAUGCUCUUUAACAGCCAUCCUUCGACUUUUUUCUCUCUGAAGCGGGACAUUCGCCAGGAAGACCCCUUAUCCCCUUUCCUCUUCAUUCUUAUGACCAAUGCACUCUACUUUAUAAUUGAGAAGAGUGUCUGUAAUAGGGAUAUCCAUGGCAUUUUCCUUAACCGGCGCGGCCCUACUCUCACCCAUUACCUUUUUGCAGACGACACAAUUGUUUUUGGGAAAGCCUCAAUCGAGGAAGCUGAGGCGAUUAUGAACACUAUCAAUGUUUAUGGGGUUGUUACCAGUCAAGAGGUAAACCCUGCAAAAUCCUCAGUAUUUUAGUAAGAAUGUGGCCGCUCAUCUCCAAACCAAUAUUCGCGCGGCUCUAGGAUGCUCAAUGGGCCAUUCUUGCUAUUUGGGGGUCUCGACGGAAUGGGGGAACUCACGCAUGGAAACAUUUUCAUACCUCUAGAUAGAUAAGACUCUCAGCCACAAUCUUGGAAAAGUAACCUUCUCUCCCAUGCCGGAAAGAGACUCUUCUGAAGGCUGUGGUGCAAGCUAUCCUGGCCUACAUUAUGGGUUUAUUCUUGCUCCCUAAAACCAUGACGAGGAAGAUGGAUUGUAAGCUCUGAAAUUUCUUCUGGUCAGGUUCUACUCAGAAGCGCUCCAUCCAUUGGUGCCAUGCUGAUAUCUUAUGCGCCUAAAAGAAGAGGGUGGUCUCGGGUUUAGAUAUUUUCACACGUUCAAUCUGGCCUUGCUAUCAAAACUUGGCUGGCGCCUUAUGAACAACCCAGACGCUCUUUGGGCUUGACUUCUCAAAAGCCGUUACUUCCACAACACCAGCUUUCUCGAGAGGAAGAAAGGGUCCAGGCCAUCCUGAAUUUGGGCUAGUAUUUGUGAUUCCAUGGAUGUUCUUGAUCUUGGUAUCGUCAGAGUCAUUAGUAAGGGAAACACAACUUCCAUCACCAAAGACCCCUGGCUGCCAAGCCUUCCGAAUCACCGCCUCAUAGUGGAUACGAGUCCUUUUGAUUUUGUAGAUGAGUAGAUCAUUGACAACCCCCGACAGUGGGAUUCUUAUACUAUUGGUUUAUACUGUUACCAAGAACAAUGCGCUGCAAUCACUCGGAUCCCCGUUGGGCCUCUUAACCUCGACGAUGCUUGGAAAUGGAAAAUCACAAAUGAUGGGGUGUUCUCGGUUCGCUCUGCCUACCAUGCGGCUCACUCGGAGUUUAAAUGUUGGCGGCCCAUUUCGUUGUCCCUUAGACGGGUGGGGGAAAAGAACUGGAAGUGGCUGUGGAGUCUUUCCUUGCCACCAAAAAUUCUAUUCUUCCUUUGGAGAUGCAGCCGCAAGGUCCUUGCAACUAACUAUAGCCUGUUCAAGAGGCAGUGUGUCCCUAAUUUUGCGUGCCCCAUAUGCACUCUCAGGAAGAAUCUAUCCUUCAUUAUCUUUUUUUUUUGCACCCACACGUCUUUUGCGUGGGUUUUGGCUGCUCUCUCUCUUGUUGGGCCGCUCCCUAACGACUCUUUCGCAUUCUGGUUUUUUGGGCUACAGGAUGGUUUUUUGAUGGCGACACAAAUUAAAGUCGCGACCCUGUUAUGGAAUAUCUGGAAAUCAAAGAAUGCCUGCGUUUUCCACCAGAAGCGCCCUUUCCCCGAAUCUCUGUAGAGCUUGCCAGUGGUGACGCUUGGGUUUGGGAAUGCUGCUUCGAGUCCCUCCCAUGCCACUUCUACUAUCCAUGUGGGUUCUCUCGCUAACCCAGUCGUGAGCCGACCGCCUCGCACCCGCUCCCCGACUUACCCCCCGCCGAGUACCUUCACCUCUAGGAUACAUUGCGAUGGAUAAUUCUUGAAUGAUUCCCAAAAAGGCGGCCUAUUGUGUCAUCAAGACUAAUACCAAUAGGCAAGUUUGCGACGGGAAGUUUGGCUCUUUCUUCUGUUCCUCGCCUAUUGUUGCUUAGUCCCGUGCACUUCUGGAAGCGGUCUCGGUCACAAUCAAAUCUCCCGAUCCAUGUAUGAUAUUCUCUGAUUGCCUCUCUUUUGUUGAGUGUCUCCAUGACACGCCGGCUAGUUGCCCUUGGCAAUGCUACGGUUACCUUGGAUGUGUGUCCUCUCUGCUUCGCUCUCAUCCGCAUAUUUUGUUCCGGUACACGGGACGAAUCUCAAACAAAGCUGCAAAUUGGAUAGCCGGUAAGGCUCCUUUGGGUUGCAUUCCUCCUGAUUGGCUGAAUAUUAUAAAAGAGAUGUUCUAGUUUUUCUGGUCUAUUUACGACUUGGCCGCUUUGGUGAUUAAUGGAAUACCACCUUUAAAAAAUAAUAAUCAACUGGUAUGUCUACUAAGCCAAAUUGCGCACGUUUUAUUUGACUGUGUAACCAAUCACAUCAUUGCACCCUCACGAGGCCUAAGAAAAAGCAAGAGUGAUUUUCCUGGAAAUUGUAGGCCGAUUUGUUUUUCCUUUUUGGUGCUUUUUUUUAAUUCUACCCCACUCGCACACUAGUUACAUAUAAUUAAUCAAAUGGCAACCACUUUGGAUCUCAACCUCACUAAUCAUCUUAAUAUUUCAGAGUUCAAAACUGUCCAAUUAUCAGUUAUACUUGUUUGAUUUCACUUAGAUAGUACCAAAUUAACGAGUCUCGAUUUCAAUUAUAUUAAUGAUUCUCGAUACAAUAUUAAUUUAGUACAACUUGUUCUUAAUAAAAUCGAUUCAAUUAGUAAUCAUUAUACACGAAAUAUCGACUUAAGUGCAUUAUAUAAUGACACAACGUUUACAAAUGUAUCUUAACACCGUCUGUUUUCCUCUAGUUGAUUGAUUAGUAAAAAAAAUUGAUAAUUCAUUUUUUGUCACAAUGAUAUUAGGUUUGGAGAAGAAAUCUUCUUUUUUAAAAGCAAAAGUCUAUUAUUUAUUAAUUAUGAAAUAUCCAAACAUAUUAUCGUUCAAACUGUUCGAAAGAAACAAUAGAGACGUCUUCCCAUAAAUAAGCAACUGCAAUAAUCUAGACUCCCUAGUCAAUCUUUCCGCACAAACUGAAUCGUAUAACUCGUUUUUUACGCUAAAAUCAGUCGACAUCGAUCUUCUAAUGAUAUCACCAAAUUAAGUUUUAGAGAAAAAAAUUAUCAUCUAUAAACAUUUAAUUCAAAAUCCAAAUGAGUAUAUCCUUGGGUUUCACUUCGAAUUAAUCAAGUAAAUAAUAUGAAAUAAUGGUGUAUUAAAAAAAACAGUGAGAAUGAUUUUGUCUUAUUAUAGAAAACAAAAGAAAAAUGAAAAAAAUAAGAUGGCAACAUGCUUUUGUCAUGGUUUUCCCUUAUAUUUAUAUGAGCCUCUUUCACCCUUGUUUUCAUUUUAAGCGUAACUUUAUUUUGGGGGCGGCUUCCAUUUCCUCCUCCUCCUCUCACUGGUACAGAGAGCAAUAAGAACAGUGAAAAAAAUCUUUCUUUCUCUUCUUUACUCUGUGCUUUUGAUAACAAAAAUGGGGAGAGCUCCAUGUUGUGAGAAGAUGGGUCUGAAGAAGGGACCUUGGACCUCUGAAGAAGACCAUAUUCUCACCAAUUACAUUCAGCUCUACGGCCACGGCAACUGGCGAGCCCUCCCCAAGCUUGCCGGUAACGGAACAUUUUCCCCUUUCGUAGCCUUGAUUUUACCGAGUGAAAAGUUGAAUGGAAUUUUAAUUUUUUUUAUUACUAUGACUUGCAGGAUUGUUGAGGUGCGGGAAAAGUUGCCGGCUGCGAUGGACCAAUUACUUGAGGCCUGACAUCAAACGAGGAAAUUUCACCCCUGACGAGGAAGACACAAUCAUCGAAUUGCACAACAUGUUAGGAAACAGGUAUGUGCUUUGCUAGCUACCUUAAGUUAUUUUCAUAUACGAAAAAAACCUUUUUAAUUGGCACCACAUUUAAUCAUGAUUCAGUGAGCAGACACCACAUUUCUGAUCUGACUAGAGCAAGUAGAUGUUUUCUUUACAUGUUUUUCUGUCUGAACUUGAUCGUCCAAUUCAGGGUCAGAGAUAUGCUCUGCUCUGCAAAUAUUUUUAUAAUUCAUUAAAAAAAAUUACUGAUUUUUCCCAGAGAUCUGUGAUUACAAUAAUGUAGGGUGGUACAGUACAGUAGAUAUGCCCACAUCUCAUGUGACGGUUUCAUAAUUUGAGGAGAGUGUGUUAUUUUCCCAAGGUUGAUGGGAAUCUCCCUAGCAGAGUAAUUAAUUGUCUGGAUACUAUUCCCAGAUCAUAUCAUUUAAUUAACCCCAACCAUCGUUCCCGUUCGUUCGUUCAAUUUUUUGUCAGUUUUGUAUAUUUAAACACUUGCAAACAAGAUGUGCACUCUCAUGUCCCGUGACACACAGAUUAUCUUUUACUAUGAUAGAUAUUUAAUUCUCACUAGUCGAGUUGUGCAAUUAACAAUGUUGUGGGUUGAUAAUUCGGAAUAUUAAGUUUAAAUUUAAUUGCAUUUUACGGGCUACUUAUACAUUGUUGAUUUCUUUCUAUAGUGUUAUGUUCCUAUCUCGAAAAAUGAGAUAUUUAAUUUACCGAUGGACUGUACGUAGCUACUAGUAAUUCCGAUACGACGUGACCCCAAAGUUAAGGAUUGGAUUCUUAAUGACUGUUUGUACUGUUGUGCGGACAGGUGGUCGACGAUUGCGGCGAAAUUACCGGGGCGGACGGACAACGAGAUUAAAAAUGUAUGGCAUACCCACUUGAAGAAGAGAGUGAUGGCGAUGAUGACGCCGACGAAGCAAAACGACGAUCAGCAGAAUAAUCCACUGCCUCCUCCGGGGACUAACAAGCGGAGAUCGUCCGCCGGCAAGAAAACCAAGAGCAUCAGCAGCAUUAUUAAAUCGGAUCAGGCGGCAGGGGAACCUGCAAAUUUAACGACGGCCAUGGUACCGGCGGAGUGCUCGAGCGACGACGCGUCAUCCCUGACGACUGCGGAGAACAACGAUGCGGUGAAGGCGGAGGACAUUUCAUCGAGGGAGGAAAAUUUGAAUAAUGAGGAAAUGGACGAGAGUUUCUGGUCGGAGGUGUUGUCGGCGGAGAAUACGAGCAGCGUGGUUGAACCGGAACUUGGGUCGGGGUUGUUUGGGUUCGAGUCGUUGGUAAGUAGUAGUAGUGUGGUAGGCGGCGAUGACCAGGAAGGGGAGGGGGCGGCGGCGGCAGCCCUGCUGGGGGAUGAUUCAAACGUGGACUAUAGUAGCAUGGAUUUUUGGUACAACUUUUUGACUGGGGAUGGGGAAUUAUCACAGCUUCCACCAAUUUGAGUCUUUUUCUUCUGGGAAUUUUGCUUUAUUAGGGAGGUUUAGAACUGGAGUUGUUUCUUCUGGGUAUUGCGGUUUGGAUCGGAAAUAGCGACUAGUGUUUGAUCUUUGGCUGUUGAUCAAUCAGAGACACAUCUUUUAACCUAUGCUUCAGAUAUUAUUGGUUAUUCUAACUAUCUUUCCUGGCCGCUUCAGCCCAGAAUCCCAAGUCAACAUUCAGGAUUAAGCACCGCUUGGAAUCACCGCUCGGGCUGAACCAGGGUUCAUUAUUCCAAGUGAAUCCUGACUAAUCCAUACUUGGUUCGUUAUGUCAAGAUUGGAAGUUUAUGAAGAACUCAUAUAUGAGUCGUAAUACAAAAACACAAUGCAAACCAUUUCUGCCACUGAAGCCCAAUCACUGCGCAAGAUCUAAGGCCCAUAUACAUGGACUUGCAGCACUGGAGGCCUUGCUAGGAAAUAAUAACUCACAUAACGAAAUUAGCUCUUCUUGAUGACUGCUACGGAAAUGUGGGUGGAUCAAGAUGGAGUAAAUUCGCGUGGGUAUCUGCCCGUGAGGUCCCGUUAUGAUUGGGCUUUGCCUGAUCAAAUCAGCCCGUCAAUGGACACCGGUUUACCCGAAAUCCAUCAAAAUCUGGGUUUGGGUUGCCUCGGAUCCAUCAUAAUCUGCCCCGACACUCGACCGGCGGAUAUUUUGUCACCGACGGGUAUUCUAUAUCCGGCCGGUGACGAGGAUGAUAUUAAACUUCUAUCCAUUUGCUGGUUGGGGAUGGGAACGGGAAAACCGUCGACCUCGACGGACGAAAAUCGGAUAUACUACAUCCAUCCCCAAUCCGACUAUGUCCAAGCCUAAAAUUAGUAUACGUACGAUCAUAAAGCAAAACAAUUUUAAUUAUCUUGAAAAAAUAAACAAGAAUGUAAGUUUUCCAAUAAUAAAUACCAAUUGUAGAUGUCGGUAAUAUAGGAGUCCGUGUCAACGAUAAAUAAAAAAGAAGUAUUUGCCUCCAACAAGAAAAAAUCAACACCGUCCAUUUAAAUGUUCAAGCUAACGGAUUAUAAGGCCUCUUUAUCUAUGAGACUUUGUCUCCUUAUUUCUUCUUGAAGUUAAUUCAAUUUCAAUAUCUUCACUCUCAUCCUCUCAACUGCUUCUUCAUUUUGCGGCUCUUCAUUUUACUUAUAUACAGCUACACCAAGACUUUUUUGGAUUUUGAUUUCUGUUUUGUUAGUGUGCUCACUUUGUUAGAAUUAUGUACUUGGUUUAAAGUUUCAUUGUCAGGCUUAUGUAUUUGAUUUUUUGUUAUUAUGGGUUAUGUAUUGAUUUUGUUUGUACUNNNNNNNNNUAAUUUUUAAUUUUAAAUUUUUUUUACUUGAUUUUGUACUCGGUUUGAAAUUAAGGUUAUAUACUUGCUUUUUGUACUCAAAUUAAGGUUAGGCUUGUCAUGUAUUUGAUUUUUUAUGGUUGUGGGUUGUGUAGUUAUUUUGACUUGAUUUUUCUAUUAAAUUAGACAUGAAGGUGGACAAUGGACUGGACCAGAACUCGUCGAAUCCCACUCCAAAUUCCCCAAUGUACAGAAGAUGCAGCUACAUCAAGAAUGAUAAUAUGUAGCAAGAGCUUAAGAAAGAGCUAAAAGAGCCAGAAUCCAGAUGAUGUUAUUGAUGUGGACAAAUGAAUCCAAGAGAUAAAAAAAGAGUAACCAAACAGAGAAGUUGAAGUAGCAAAGGCUUAAUUUUUCAGCAGUUGGGGAAUUUUAAUUUACAGCAGCAGUAGUGCUCAUUGGCUAAUUAUAAUUAACUGCCUAAGUCUUCAAUUAAGCAAUAAGCGCUACAAGCUACGAAGGGAAAUCAUCCUCUCCCGAACUUGCAUCUCAGCCUUGAAACUAGAAAUGAACUCUUCAGCCCUCUCAUCAAUCGCCCUCAUCAGUGGCGAUUCAUAUCCCAACGACUCCCACAUCUCAUCAGCUCCACCCUCCUCCUCCCCACUCGUCCCAGCUGCCAUCAACUCAUUAAUCUUCUUCCCACUUGACGACACCUCACACUGAGUCGUCGUCAGCACCUCCAUUACCGGGGGCUCUACUACGAAGAUCCUGUCGACGAAAACCGGAGCAGCAGAGCAGCUCCUGCUGUAGAAACGGAGCCGUCUGCUGCUCUUCCGUUUGAAUGGAAGACCGCGGCAAGGCAGGCUGAUUUCCAUCCGCCCCCCCCUGAUCUUCCGAUACUCCUUCGAAAGAGAAUUACAAGGAACGAAAGUUUUGUUCGCAGCAGGAUUGAUGAUGGGGUAAGUGAGGGUAGAGGUGGAGGAGAUAAUGUGUUUGGGAUUUUUGUUUUUGAGGGAUUUGGGGUUGUUGUGGAGUUUGUGGAGUUUGGUACGGAGCUUGGAAGUGAAGAUCUUCCAUGCCUUGUUUGGGCGUGGAAGCCUGAGGUUGAAGCACGACGACAUAACUAACGGAUGAUGAUGAUGAUGUUUAAGAAGGGUGAAAGGGAAGUGGUUUUAUAACAAGGGAAAGAGAUGUUUGGUUUGUGGAUAAAGCGUGUGCAAAUGUGAAGUGCACUUGGCUUUUGAGGAUUCGUAUUCAUAUUCAUAUUCAUAUUCGUAUUCACUUUUGGGGGACUUAGCAUGCUGGCUAGCUUCCUUCUUACGCUCAGAGUGUACAUUUCUUUAAGAGUAGGCAGAGGGAGGUAGAGGAUUCCUACACUGCUUUCUUCUUACGCAGUCAUGUUGACAAGUUGUCACUAAAUUUGUAGUGUAACUUGAGAAUGGGAGUCCGAUCCUGGAGCCAGAGAUAUUGUUUUUGGAUCCGAUCCAAAAGUAAUUUGGAUUUUUGGAUUUUUAUAUGGUUUAAAGCCCAAAUAUUAAUCGGGGAUAAUAUAGUCAUGUUGUUUUAAAUAUUUUUGUUGGACCAGAAUCAGGGACCAAAAUCGGUUAGCGAUGACCAUUGAAUACGUUUCUUCGGCUUGGGUUGUGUUAAAAUAACGCGGAUAUAGUUGAGCCAAAAAAUCUCAGUUCGGAUGAUCAAAGAUCAAAUCACUAUGCGUAUCUUAGCGGGCUGGUUACACCUACAACCUACAUGAAAACCGAGCAUUUCACGGUUCCAAAAUGCUGGAUCUCGAUUUUUAUCAGCUAUAGCAAGGAAAGAAAUUUCAUAUGAAAAAUGUUGUUUUGGGAUGAUGUUAUAGAUGAAUUUGGCUUGACCCCAAAUUUGAAGAAACGUAUGUUUGAGAGUCACUAUGGUAGCGCUUCGAUCUUUGGUAUUGCCGAUGAUGCUCACAGAGAAGAUGGUGACGAAGAGGAUCAGGAAGAACCUUUUUAGGCUAGUAGUAUAAAUAAUUAAUCUUGUGUAUGAGGUUUUAGGAAUGAAACAAAUAUAUCUAUGUCCACAUUGGAAUAUUAGUAACUAUACUAUCACAAGAUCGAAUGUUAGUAACUAUAUUCAAUAAUUAGCUAAAUUAUAAUAAAAUGGCAUAUUUAUAUACAUUCAGUAUUUAAAUUAUACAAACCAUCAGAGACCAUUGCUUUUACUUGAUAGAUGGAUUUUCAAAUUAUUUACUAAUUUUUAACUGAACCAAUCGGUUUUCACUUUUCAGGUGGGUAAUCGAAAAUUGAUUUUCAAUUACAACGCUUAUCUCUCUUGCUUUUUGUCAUCGUAGUUUUUGAGAGAGUUUAGUUCCAUAAUUAAUUUGGACAUAUAUAAACUAAAUUAACUUAUUUAUGAUUAAGGAAAUUAACUUAUUUCAGAAACCAUAUGAAUUAUUCUCAGACUCUGAGAGUUCAAUUUUAUAAUUAAUUAGAAUCACAACAGCUAAAUUAGAUAUAUUUCAUGCAAUUGGAAUGGUUUUUAUAAUGUAUUUGGAAAAAAAAAACAAAAGAGUGGAGUGGCUGAUUCUCUCUUUUCCCAACACUUAUAACAUUGUAUUUGGUUCCUCGACUAUGCUCCAAUGUCCUUGAAACCUCAGAACUCUUGUUGAUUCCCAUCAAAUUAGGGUAUCAUUAAAUCGGUCAAAAAAUUCAUUCAAGAAUAAAAGAUAUUAAACCUAUAACUUUGUUGUAUAAAUCGGAAACCCCACAGGUACAUCCUUCUGCACACUAACACUUGCAAACAGAGGGGAGAAAUCAAGAGAAACAGGAUAUGGCAUUGAUGGGACGACGUAGUUGCUCUAACUCUCAGAUGCUCGCUAUUUUUGUCUUCAUUUUUUCUUUGGUCCUUACUACCCACUCAGGUAAUUAUAUGUACGGAGGAGAACUAUUAUAUCGCAAUAAGUUAAGUCGUUGAAAAUUUUUUAUUAUUAGUUUUUAUAGUAUUCCUUUAUACGUACAUCCCUUCAAAUGAAAAUCUAUGAAACGAGAUUGAAGUUUACAUAGAUAUUCCAUCAAAUCUUUUACGUAAGGAAUUGUUAUAUGAAAGGCUGACAGGAUUCAAUCCCAAACCUCAACAAUAAAUUUUUUUAUAUCAUGUCGAUAAGGAUUAUAUCCCGAAUUUCUAAAAACGAAUCAUAAUUCAUUUUUAAGAUGUUCUACAGUAUACCUGUCCGAAUUGACUGUAGCAUAAUUUUCGGAACAUAUAAGGGUUGAUGAAAUUCAAAAUAAAUGUAAAAUUAUUGUGUACUUUAAUUUCUACUCUAUAGAAUAUGUAGUAAGCUUUUUCACGUACGUACGUGUAUCAAUAUUUUGUGCAGCAAUGGUGAAGAGGGCGCCGUUUGUCCCUGGAGCUUCGGAAGUGGUGUGCGACGUCGUAUACGGAGUGGAGGAUGGAGACACUUGCUUCUCUGUGGCCAAAUCGUCCAACCUAACCGACUCGGGUUUCUUUCGAAUCAACCCUAAUCUCAACUGUAACUCCCUUUUCAUCGGCCAAUGGCUCUGCAUCUCUGGCAAAGCAUCCCCAUAAGUCUCCAGCUUCUGCAAAAGGAAUUACUGAUGAAUCAAAAAACAUUUGGGGACUCUGUGAAAUAAGGCUGCUGUCAAAUCCCAAUUGGUCUUGUCUUUGUUGUUUGGGCCUUAAUUUUAAUUUUGGGCUUUUAAUAAAACCCAUCAUCUCAUACCCAACGUCUACAUUCCCGUAGUCGAAUGGGCUUCGUAUAAUGUAACAUGCGAUUGAUGAUUUAAAAGAUGGUUUUGGUUUUUAUAUUUUUUUCUGCGUUUGGAAGGAUUAUCGGUUGUUGAUUUUAUCUUUUAAUUAUUUAGUCGGAAGUUCAAUUUUUGUUGUAUGAGGUUAGAGUAUAUUUUACAUUUAGUUAUUUAUUGUUUUAUCUAAACGUCCGUGUAGAAGAAAUUAAUUAUUAUUAUCGAUAAUAAACAUCAUAAUCAUAUUAAAAAAUGUAUUGUUCCAUGAAUUAAUUUUAUUGAAGAAUUCUCAACCAUUAAAUCAAAAAUAUUUAUAUCUGUUGGCUGAAAUUUUAUAGACAAAAUAGACUUUUUCCUUAGUUUUUACUUCUUUGCUAUUCACUAUAUUUUUAAUAAACAAUAUAUCAUUUGCUAUUCAUUAAUAUAUUCGACGGAGUUCCCACUACCAUCGUCGCCCAUCUAAACUUCAAGCAUCACCAUUUUUCAUUACCUUCUCCAUCGUCGUUAGUCGAUUAGUAAUGGAGUUAGAAUUUUCAUAAAAAAGUGUAUAUAUAGAAAAUUUCUAACUUCAUAAAUCUCAAUAUACGCAUUGUUGUUUUAUUCUAAGUCGUGUUACAUAAAAAAAAAGAAUAUAAUACCGCAGCGAAAGAAUUGGCACCGUAAAAAAGGAAGAAUAUCAUUUGAUCACCUUGUUAUCUCCGAACGUAUGAAGAUUAAUCCCCUAUUUGUAUGUUUUGUCCUUGUCGUCCUCGCCGGACUGAGAAAUUAAUUUUACCGCCGCCUGUGCCAGCUCCAUUGUUUCCAUCUCCUCCUCAAAAAACAACAUACAAUAUUUCCAAAAUAAAAAAGGGCAGAGCUUAUCAUACCUACAAACCGAACCUACAGCUACUUGAGAAACAAAAGUGAAAGAAGAUAGAAAAGAAGAAAUCAAGAUCACCAGUAUGGCAACCGCCGUCAGCACCAAAACCAUCAUUAUGUUUCGUCUUAUCUCUACUUUGGUUCUCAGUACCACUGGUAAGUGCUCUGUGUUUAGGUGUAGUUUGGAUCAUUUAUUUGAGAUAUGUGGUAUUUUAAAGUAAAAUGAUGAGUUAUUAACAACGUGGUAUUUUUGAGGUUCAAAUAGCUAAUGGCUUGAGAAUUAUCUUAUUUGGAUAGCUAGUAAGUUAUUCACAUCCUAAAUUUUGUGUUGGUUGUUAAACGAGUUAUUUUGAUGUGAUAUUUUGGAAUAUCUUCGAAAGUGAGUUAUUUGAAAUACCACGGUUCGAAAUACUAGAUUUUGUGUUGGAUGCAAAAUGAGUUAUUAUUUUGACCCAAAUAACUUAGAACGAGAACGAGUUAUUUCGAUCAAAAUAUCUCGCCGAAAUACCUCAUCCAAACAACACGUUAUAUAUGACUGUAUAAAUAUCACAUAAUGACUUGGUUUGGUAUGCCGAAAAUUGGAUGGACUUGAGUAUUUUCCGAGUCGAACAAGAAACUUAGAUCCUGACAAAAUGUGUUUUGAAAAGCAAAUGAUUAAACUCGAUUUGUCGUGUUCCUCAUCCUCAUUUAAGUGACAUUUCAUACAUAUUCGUAUAGUUUUGGGUAUAAGUUUAGGAUGUUUCGUGCAUUUCUAACAUCUAUCUAGAUUUAGUGUCUUAGACUCGUUCGAGGUCCUUUUGAUGUCGUUUUGGAGUGUUUUUUAUGGAUUUCAGGCGCAUAACAACAUCGAGGCAUUAAUCGGAGUGAUAAAGUGUGUGUGGAUGGUCUAGGACAAGCAAUGAGAAACAUUUUGACAUCUGUAAAGAGCAUGGAUCUCGAAUUGGUCGGAAAACGUCGCAGUUUCGUAUUUUGAACAUAUCUCCCAACUCAGAAGUCCGAUUGAUGCAAGACCGGCGGCGUUGGAAAGAUCGUUCAAUUUCCUACAACUUUUAUCCGGGAGUUAAGUCAAUAUUGGCGCAAUGGACCUGUCACACGUAGUGCUAUGCACAUAGCACCAACUUUGACCAUUCAUAGCGUCAAUGUUAACACCCUAUUCUGGAAAUUUCGUAAAUAUUGGCUCUAUGGACCUGUCAAUAUUGGCUCUAGACCUGUCAAAGUUGGCGCUAUGGACCAUAGAGCCAAUAUUGACAUAAGCCCAUAGAGCCAAUAUUAACAAUCCAAGAUUUGAAGGAUUUUUGGAAACUUCUAUUUAAAACCCGGUUCUCCCUCAUUCGAAGACAGACCUUGGGGGACGAAAAUUAGGGAGAAUUUCAGCGACUUCGAGCGACGAGAAGGCACCGACUUCAAGGAUUUCGGGUGGAAAGACAUAAUCAAAAUUGAAGGAUCGAUUUCUUCGACGGUUCUCGGCGAAAUUAGGUUUUUCGAAUUUCUUCUUGUAAACCUAAUUCCAAUGUUUUCCUUUGUUGAUUUUGAUUUGUUCUUCAUUAUUAUGAGUAGUUAAACUCCUCGUGCUUAGAUUAGAUGAACCUUAGGUAAUUCCUUACGAAUGGAUGAUUGCUCGACUUUGGCGAUUUAUGUGAGUUGGAUGGAUUUUGCUUUAUGUUUAAUUUCGUUUCCGUUCUUAUUCUUGCUUGGCCGUCUUAAAUAGAACCUUGUUAGAUUUGUCUUCGUCUCGAAAGAGCUUGCAUAUCUAGAACACCGAAAUUAAUCAUAGGUUAGGCGUUAAUCCUCAUCCGAGAGCGAAUAAACUAGUCCGUCGUGUGAGCAGUUCACGUUUGUUUUGUCACCUAGUAGAUUCUAGAUCUUUGUCCCGUAAGAGCGGACUGGGAUAAUAAAUAGGUAGCAUAUUAGUAGACCCGAAAGGGCAUGAUUUGAUUAGAGAAGAAUUGAGACAAUCAAUUGAAUCUGUCUUGUUUGUUUAAAUCGUGAAAUUUGUCUGUCAUUGGUGAAUUUGGAUAGCCUAGAGGGAUUAGAAAUCUAAACAGUUUUCUCCCAUUUGGUUCAAACUUUAUAUCGUGUAGUCUUGCAGCAUUGUGUUAUUUUCCAUGUGAUUUUCUUUAGAAAUUCGUGAAACCUACACCACAAAACCUGUUUAAUCGAUUAACACUUUUCAUAACUUUGAGUAGUCACGAUAUUUAAAUCUUAGAAAGAUUCGACUCUAGUUAAUUCGUUAACUAAGUUUAUUUUGAAACAAAUAAAAUCCGUUAAUCAAUAAACUUUCUUAUUAUCAUCUAAAUUACAUAGAAGUUACUAUAUGUGUCAAACCAAGUUUGUAAUUUGUAGAUUAACUGUGAAUAUAUACAUAUUAUAUACAGCGAUGAUGAAGGGCGGGCGAAGGUUGGCUCAGGCUACGCCUAAACUGGAGUGCAGCACGGUUUAUGGAACACAAGGUGGAGACACAUGCACUUCGAUGGCAGGGGACUUUGGUCUGAAACUGAAGGAUAUGUUGGCAAUCAAUCCUAACAUCAACUGCGCUACUAUCUUUGUCGGCCAACGGCUCUGCGCUGCCCCUGCUUAGAUCAUAACAUCCAAUUCCAUAAACCAGUACUCAAGACUUGAUGGCUGCUGGGUGAUCAUCAGAAGAAGUUUAACUGUCCUUCUUCAUAUCUUCUCUGUUUUUUUUUUACUUUUUUACAGUAAUGUGUCGUCAAUAAAUUAAUGGCUGCUGCACCAAGCACUGUUGCAAAACACCAUGCUAAGCAAUGUUGCAGUACGCUAAUGAGUAUUUCUUUUGGGCAAUUAAACAUCCCUACUUUUUUUCUUCACCUCCAUCCUCUCAUUAUAUAUCUUCAUCUUAAAUUCUUUUUUUUAAGAACCUCAUGAAACUGUGUAGUUUGACGUUUGUUCGUGUCACCCGCUAAAACCUGCGAUUAAGGUACGAUUGGUUUUCAUAAUUUUAAAGGGCAAAACCGGUUUUAGAGCUCCUUCGGACGGAAUGGUGAAAUAUUCAAGUUGGGUUGGCUUGCCACGUGGAAUUGGUGGAACUGGAAAAUAUUAGCAUUGUAGUGUGUCUAUCUGUAAUUGUGGAUGAAAAACAAAUAUGGUAUUUAGACUAUUAGAGUAUUAGUAAUGUAUGGCUUAUUAGAUGGUGACUUCCUUACAUGUUAUUUAGUUCAAUCUUUAGGGGUAGAAAACUGAGAGUUAACUUUGCUCCGGUGGUUGGAACUAUGCGAGCCGGGCCUCGAUUCAGAAAGAGGAAAUUCAGAAAAAGUCUAAAUAGGGGGUUACGUCUAAAAAAUCCGUGGUUCAAGCUAGCAAUUAGGUACAUUGAAUCAGUCGUGAGAGAUAAAGGUCUUGCUAUGGUCCAGCGGGUUAGGAUUUUUUGGGAGGUCUACUCCUCUCGCCGGACUAGCAUGUUCCACUUCGUUUAACUGGCGAAAAAAGCUUAUAAUGCUGGAUGUAGUAAAAAACAUCAUCUUUCACCUUUUACGAUGAACGAGAACCCCAAAUUUCCACCGCCGAGACUGACCAACAGAAAACAAAGUCCAAUUUUGGACGCGAAAAUCAGAGAUAUGCCAAAGCCAAGCUCAGACAAACAGAGCAAAUGCAGAGGAGGUGGUGUUAGUUUUCUUCAGACAAAUGGUGGGUCGAAAAUGAAUCUCAGGCGCCACAGCGGCACGUACUCAUAAACUCAUCACCACCUCAUUCCCCCUCCAUCUGCAAUGUGUCACCUGAACUGUUCUACCCAUGCAAUGACCAUGCAACCACCGACUACUCUAUAAAAACCCUCCCGCCCUUCUCCUACUUCACUCCAUCAUCUCCAACUUCAGCUUUACUCAUGAUGGCAACCAAACUAGCCGCCGCAUUCCUUGUUCUCUCUUGUCUCGCCGCCGCCACCUCCGCCGAGCACAAUCAAGGCCGGACGACCACUCCUCUGGAGUACCAAUUCCAGGCUCAGCAUUGCAACCUCGACCGCAUCUCUCCAGCCCAGCCUAACUUCCGCCUGCAAUCGGAAGGUGGAGUCACCGAGCUAUGGAACCCCCACGAGGACCAGUUCAUCUGCGCCGGCGUCGCUCCGUUCCGUGACGUCAUCCAGCCCCAAUCCCUCUCCGUCCCCAAGUUCUUCCCCGCCCCUCGCCUCGUCUACGUCCAGCAAGGUUCAUUUUUGAAUUUGAAAUACCAUAACCAAAUUCACCUAUCAAAACACACCCGAAGAUAUUUUGAUAUUUGAAAGUUUUUGUGUACAGGGAACGGAGUGUUGGGGUUGAACUUUCCGGGCUGCCCGGCGAUGUACCACAGCGGGCAGGCACAAGGACAACAGCAGAGAGGAUCAAGGAGGAUGAUGGGAGGAAGCGGAGGAGACGAGCACCAAAAGAUCCACAGGAUUCGCGAGGGUGACGUCAUCGCCAUCCCUGCCGGCGUUGCUACUUGGGGCUACAACGACGGUAACCAGGACCUCGUCUACGUCACCUUUGUUGACCUCAACAACGACGACAACCAGCUCGAUCAAAACCUCAGGGUCCAAACUUUCCCUCCCCCACUAUAUUAAUUUCCUCACUUGCCACUAAUUUGGAUCGCUAAGUACUAUACGACGAUGCUCUGUUUUUUUGAGAGCUGACGAUGGUCUGUUUUUCAGGGGUUCUUGCUGGGAGGAGGACAAUCGGAUCAGCAAAGGCAGAGCAGGCCGACAUGGGGGAGGAGGACUUACCAGAUAGGGGAAGGAAGGGAAGCCGGCGGGCAGUCGCUGAUGUCGGCCAACGUCUUCCAAGGGUUCGACGAGGAGCUGAUCGCCGAGGCGUUCGACGUUCCAACGGAGACCGUCAGGAGGAUGCAGAACGACAACAGGGGUAUUAUCGUCAGAUGCCAGGAAGAGAUGAGCUUCGUUACCGAGGAAGAACAACAGAUGCAGGAGAUGGACAGGUGGCGCCAAUCUAAAGGAGGAAGGUACAGCAUUAACGACGAAGAAAACGGAAUCGAAGAGACCUACUGCAGCAUGAAGAUCAAGCACAACCUGGAGAAACCACUCCAGGCCGAUUUCUUCAGCAGGGACGCCGGUAAGAUCAACGUCGUCAACCGCGACAAGCUCCCAAUCCUUGGCUACUUGGACAUGAGCGCCGAGCGAGGCACCAUUUUGCCCGUAAGCUACCUCUCAGACUGACUUAAAACAACAAUUUUCAAUUGGUAAUCUCUUAAUUAACCAAUUUUGUUGGUUAUGAAUGAAACAGAAUGCAAUGUACACCCCACACUGGUCAAUGACAGACCACAGGGUGGUGUACGUGGUGGCGGGAGAACUACAGGUGCAAAUCUCCGACGACAAAGGAAACCAGAUCAUGAACAACAGGGUGCAGGAAGGGGAAAUGUUCGUGAUCCCACAGUUCUACGCCACAAUGGGAAUGGCAGGGAACCAAGGGUGUGAGUAUCUGACGUUUAAGACGUCUGGGAAGCCGAUGAAGCAUCAGAUAGGGAAGCCGAUGAAGCAUCAGAUGGCAGGGUACACAUCGGUGAUGAGAGCGAUGCCGAUCGACGUGAUCAGCAACUCCUUCCAGAUGUCGCCGAGGGAGGCAGAGCAGCUGAAGAUGAACAGAGACCCUGAGUCCAUGUUGCUCUCUCCCACCAGCGGAAGCAGCAGGGUUUAGAAAGGAUUAUGUUCUAGUUUGUUUUUAAGAAAAAGCUCCUUCUCUUGUAGAGAUCGAGAAGGAGAGGGAAUAAUAAUAAUGACUCCUACUUUGUAAUCUUCUAUCAUGCUUAGUAGAGAGCAAGGAGGCUAGACAAAAGCUGUACCGAGUUUAAGCAGCCAAUUAUGAAUCCACCUUAAUAAUAAUUACUGUGGCCUAGUUUUGCUGUCCUUAUAUACUUUUCACUUUUUAGUGACCAAGAUCGAUCAAAAUUACCCGAUUCAUAUAUAAAAGGUUAGAUGAUGGCUUGGACACCAAGUUGCUGCAUUUCCCUUAGCCGCCAGAUUGGGUAGAUAACACCUUCUCCAAGUUCUUGUGGCUCUACUUGGUGCAUCGCCCGUGCAAAAUAUACAGUAUGAAUUGUAUCCUGACCACAUCAAAAUGUAAAAAACAUCAGUUGGCUUCUUAUGACCAACCAAUCAUCUUUUACUCGUACCAAAAAAGGUUUUUACCUGUCCGCCUUCAGUAACUUUACACUAAGAUCCCGUACACAAUGUAUCUGCUGGGUUUGGGACUGCAAUUGUUUCCCAGAUAUAACAAACAAAUAAGUACACGGGAAAUCUAUGCUUUUUAAAGUAACUCCAAGGAAGGAAUCUGCAUGCAUACCGAUACUAUUAUGAGUGGAGAUGUUCCCAUCAUUUUUUUCUCUUUUACUUCCACAUCUGAUAGGUGACGCAGCUGAAAUAUGCAAAAAAGAAAAAUUCAUUGAUUCAUAGUUAACGUUUACAUCCCAGGAUGAAAUUAAAUUAACCAGAAAGGCUGAAAGGGAAACAGAUGGUAAGAAAUUCGCUACCUUAUUAUCGUAGAAGAUGCCAUGACUCUUGAAAGCUUUAUGCUCUCCUUCGCACCUGGAAAUUACUUCCGGACUGCAAUACUUCUUCAGAGUUUCAGCAUCUCCCUGAUGAUGAAAAAUUUAAAAUCAUGGGAAAAUUUCAAUUGGAAGGAUAGUCUAGGAAAACCAUUCUGAUGAUCAACAGAGGAUCAUAAUACAAACCUUCAUGUAAGCAUUAAGGACAGGUUUUAUGGCAUCCUGAACCUCCGCCACAAAAUCUGGCAAACAGAAUGAUCUGGUACAUGGAGAACCAGAUGGAAAGUACAGUUUUAGAAUACCAUUUCCAGAAUCAUGAGCAUAUAGAGAGAAAAUGCCGAAGUCAUAAGAUGCACAUACGGAUCCCGUCUACGUAUUUCCUUGACUGUUGCUGCAGCAUCUGUUUCUUGAAAGAUGGAAUCAGUUACACUGCCGUACAGAGGAAAUUCAUGUCGUCAACAACAUGCACAUAAUAGUUACUCAACAACCCAUACAAGGAAAAAAAAACAUGAACGAAAUUGAACCGUACUCCUGAAUUUUGUGAACAGUGAGAUUAUCACUUGUCUCCCAUCUUUCUCGCAUGUCUUCUACGAUCUGUUGAUAAACAAAGUCACGGAUCCCAUGUGAUCAUAAAAAGGGGCCAAUAUUGAAGCAUAAUGAACAACUUUGCAACAAUAAACAUGCAAGUAUCGGUCAAAAGAGUAACAUACCUCUUGACUCUUUUACACAACAGGUUCACUAAUUCUAGAGAAACGUUCAAUAAGAGGAUCCCUUGCACCUGAAUGUUGGGACAGGAAAACGAAAAAUUAACUAAUAGCAUAUUAGCAGACUUGUAUAGGUGAGAAUGAAACAAGAGAACCCGACCUUCUUUCUGAAAGUUUCCCACUUUUCACUCAAGGGAGACUGCUUUGGUUUCGACGUUGGAACAAGAUCGGUUUUUGUGCUUAGUUCACCUUUAAAAGGAGUAAACUCGAGGUGCUUUCGUGCAUUUGGAUUACCAUUUAACUCACCCUUCACGAUUUCGUAGCCCUUCUUCAUUAUUUCAGUGAUCUUUGCUUCCUUCAAUCUUUGGAACGCCGAACUGACUUCCAAAGAACGGAUUCUUGACUGGAAUUUUACAAACAACGUUUCUGCAGAUUCAUUUGUCUCUGAACUUUUGUAUGUUUCUUCGCCAUUUGAAACCUUAGAAUUUCCUUUAAUGUCAUGACCAUUUUCAGAUGAAGUUCCAGUUGACUCGCGAAACUAUUGCUUCUACAUCCCAAAAGUUCCUUUCACCUAAAUAAAUGAGAUAUGAUAAUUUGUUAUACACAAAACACUGGUUUUCAGCACAAAGAAUGUUCACUAUCAACUCAUCCGUAUAAAUUCCAGACCUCUUCUGAAGCAGCAGAAAUCUUCUCUUUGAUACUUGAGGAAGCCUGUAACAGCAUUACGAUAGAUUAACACGAGUAGUAUCGUUCAAUAGCUAAUGUAACCUUGUAAGUUAAUGUGCAAGAUAUAGACAUUCUUGAGAAGGGAACAGCAAAAGAUAUAUCAUACAAUCCAAUUCAUAGGAAGAGAAGAGAAGGGAAAGGGAACUGCUUGUGCAAGAUAUACCUUUUUAGCAGUUGCCUCGGCCUCAGUCCAGACGCCAUCAACAUGCUUGUGCAGCUUCUCAGAUGCCUGCUUCGUUCUGCAUUGGUGAUUUCACCAUCUCAGGCACUCCCUUAACGUACAAAAUCUCAUUAACAAUAAGAAAAAUCAUACCAGCACAUGGCCGCAGUUUAAGAAAAACUCUACGAGCUUUACCUAACUCUUAGGUCAUCUUUAAUGCCUUUAAGUUCUUCAGCUUUCUGCAUCAGUUCGUUAACUAUUAGGAAAAGGGAACUUUUCACUUCCCUUGGAUACGCACCGUAUCACUUACCUGCUGAAGAAAGGAGAAGCGCUACUACACCAAGACGACGACGUUGCCAAACGGAUAAUGCUGACGAGCUCCAGCAAGCAGCCAGCUCCUCCUUCCCCCUGCAAAUUCUGUUAAACAUUUCUCAGAACUGUAACUGCAGGAAUUGCAGAUUUGAUUCCAUUUCUUCUUGUCAUGUUGCUCCUCUAUGCAUUGUAUAAGACCAACACUCAAUCAAUGAAACACACACGCUUUUCUCUCUUACUUUCUAUCCCCGAUAAUAUGGUAUCAGAGCUUAGAGCUCCAUAACAAUGGCGGAACAAAUUAUUGUCAAUGGAGACUAACCACUCGCAGAUCCCUACUACCUACACGGUAGCGAGCAGCCAGGACAAUCGCUGGUUGCUGAGAAACUGUCUCCAUCAAACUAUACAGACUGGAGCAAGUCCAUGAAAAAUGUUCUAGGAGCUAAGAAUAAGCUUGGCUUCAUUACAGGAGACAUGGAGGAGCCAGAAGCCAACAAUGCAAUGUUCUGGCCAUGGACUAGAUGCAACAUCAUGGUCCUGAGUUGGAUCCAACAAUCAGUCGAAACAGGUAUUCGCAAAACCAUACUUGGCUUUAAAACAGCAGUAGAAGCAUGGGAAAGCUUGAAGAACAGAUAUGGACAGGGAGAUGUCAUACGAAUAGCUGAGAUUCAGGAAGAACUUUCCAAUCUCAAGCAAGGAAAUCAAUCCAUUACUGAGUACCAUGGGUCCAUAAUCACACUUCGAGAUGAACUAAAGAAUUAUCAACCCCUUAUGCCUUGUGAUUGCACUGCUGUGAGCCAUUUGGAUUGCAGGGCAAUCAAGCUGAUAGAGGAGUAUGAAGAGACCAACGCAGUCAUACACUUCUUGCGAGGAUUGAAUGAGAACUUUGCCGGACCAAGGAGUCAAGUCCUCUUUGGAGACAGAUUGCCAACUCUGGAGAGGGUAGUUCAACGAAUGGUGCAGCAUGAACGGCAGUUGUUUGGUACUCAAGGAAAGCCAGGUGCAGAUGGGACGGCAAUGGCUAGUCAGAAGCAGAAUCAUUCAGACGACAAUGCCAUGGUCAACUUUGCAGCCCAUCAAACACAGUUCAAAUAGGCCAUAUGGCUCAGAAGGAAAGCCUAAGCUUUACUGCACCUUCUGCAAAAUGACCAACCACACUGAGGACAGAUGUUUCUUUAAAAAUGGAUUCCCACCAGGUAUGGAACAAAGGUCGCAACCUGGCUCCUUAAAUUUCAAGCAAAGGAACUCGAAAUUCAGGCCUCGAGCCAAUGCAGUCAAGAGCUCUGAGGGAAACGGUGUGCAAAUGUCACAAGAACAGUUCAAUCAAUUAAUGGCCAUGAUGCAGCUCAAAGGCAAGGGAGCAAACGACUCUACAGCAUCUACAGGUGCUCCCUGUUGCUGCUUUCACACAACAGCCCUCAGGCAAGUUUACUGACAUUUUAAGCAUGCAGACUUUAGCAUCAAAGGAUCAUGAAAAAUGGAUCCUGGACACAGGUGCUUCUGAUCAUGUUACAUGGCUAUUGAGUAAUUUCAGUACUUAUCAUGACGUUGAAAAUGUGAUCAUCAAUCUCCCAACAGGACACCAAGUCCAAGCCACUCACAUUGGCUCAGUGAUCAUUUCACCCCAAUUGACGUUGCAUGAUGUUCUCUUUGUACCUGAUUUCCAUUUCAAUUUGAUCAGUGUCAGUAAACUUGCUGCAAAUCAAGCCCUAUACCUCACCUUUGCUUCUGACUCUUGUUUGAUACAGGACAAGCACAGGAAGACUACGAUUGGUUCUGCUAAGCUGCAUCAAGGACUAUAUCACAUGGCACCUGCAAUCCUAGUUAGUCAAGCUACCUCUACCACUUCUCCUGAUGUUUUUGAUUUGUGGCAUCAUCGCUUAGGCCAUGUUUCCCAUACCAGAAUACCCUACCUGCAUUCCCUCGAUCCUACAAUUCACACACACCCUCAUCUGCCCUGUGAUGUCUGUCAUUAUGCCAAGCAACGUAGAUUAGUUUUUCCUUCUAGCUCUUCCACUUCUUCUCAGCCUUUUGACAUGAUCCAUGUUGAUAUUUGGGGGCCAAUGGCACAACCCUCAUACAAUGGGUAUCGUUAUUUCCUUACAAUUGUAGACGACUAUAGUCGAAACACUUGGAUCCAGUUAAUGAAAUUGAAGUCUGAAACACGCUCUCUUUUACAACACUUCUGCACUUUUGUUCAUACUCAUUACAGAGUUCGAGUUAAAACCAUACGUAGUGACCAAGGAAAGGAAUUUGAUAUGCCUGACUUCUAUCAUGAAAAGGGAAUUCUUCAUCACACUAGUUGUGUUGAAACUCCACAACAAAACAGCAAAGU
rnacentral:lncRNA from 1 species